rnacentral:rRNA from 1 species
AGUGAACGCUGGCGGUAGGCCUAACACAUGCAAGUCGAACGGCAGCACAGUAAGAGCUUGCUCUUACGGGUGGCGAGUGGCGGACGGGUGAGGAAUACAUCGGAAUCUACUUUUUCGUGGGGGAUAACGUAGGGAAACUUACGCUAAUACCGCAUACGACCUACGGGUGAAGGCAGGGGAUCUUCGGCCCUUGCGCGAUUGAAUGAGCCGAUGUCGGAUUAGCUAGUUGGCGGGGUAAAGGCCCACCAAGGCGACGAUCCGUAGCUGGUCUGAGAGGAUGAUCAGCCACACUGGAACUGAGACACGGUCCAGACUCCUACGGGAGGCAGCAGUGGGGAAUAUUGGACAAUGGGCGCAAGCCUGAUCCAGCCAUACCGCGUGGGUGAAGAAGGCCUUCGGGUUGUAAAGCCCUUUUGUUGGGAAAGAAAAGCAGCAGGUUAAUACCCCGCUGUUCUGACGGUACCCAAAGAAUAAGCACCGGCUAACUUCGUG